CGGGACGUGGCGCAGUUUGGCAGCGCGCAUCGUUCGGGACGAUGAGGUCGCCGGUUCAAAUCCGGCCGUCCCGACCA
rnacentral:tRNA from 1 species